AUGGCGCCAGACCUCGAGCCGCUGCUCCCCCGCGCCGGCCACCGCCCCGUCACCGGCGGCUGGAGGUCGGCCCUGUUCAUAANNNGGGUGGAGGUGGCGGAGCGGUUCGCGUACUACGGCAUCUCGGCCAACCUCAUCAGCUACCUCACCGGCCCGCUCGGGGAGAGCACGGCCGCCGCCGCCGCGGCCGUCAACGCGUGGUCGGGCGCCGCGUCGAUGCUGCCGCUGCUCGGCGCCGCCGUCGCCGACUCGUGGCUCGGCCGGUACCACACCAUCGUCGCCUCCUCCGUGCUCUACAUCACGGGGCUCGGGAUGCUGGCGCUCUCGUCCAUGUUCUCCUCACCGAGCGAACAAUGCAAACUCACCGCGGACGGUCGGCAAGCAUGCCCGCGCUCCUCCCUGCAGACGGCCUUCUUCUACGUCUCGCUCUACCUGGUGGCCAUUGCGCAGAGCGGCCACAAGCCCUGCGUGCAGGCCUUCGGCGCCGACCAGUUCGAUGCGACGGACCCCGCGGAGUCGCUGGCCCGGGGCUCCUUCUUCAACUGGUGGUACUUCGGGAUCUGCGGCAGCGCGACGGUCACCAUCGCGCUCAUGAGCUACGUCCAGGACAACGUCAGCUGGGGCAUUGGCUUCGGGGUGCCGUGCGUAGUCAUGGUGCUGGCGCUCGCCGUCUUCUUGCUUGGCACCAAGACGUACCGGUUCUACGACAACUCAGGCGACGGCAAGGGCGCCGGCGUGUUCUCCCGUGUCGUGGAGGCCUUCAGGGCAUCAAGAAAGAGGUCGCCAGAAGGUGGAGAGCACGGCCAUGGCGACGGCGUGGAGAAUGCUGCCAUCGUGGAGGAGGUGAGGGGCUUGGCGAGGCUGUUCCCGAUAUGGGCGACGUGCCUGCUUUACGGCGUGGUGUUCGCUCAGCCGCCGACGCUGUUCACGAAGCAGGCGGCGACGAUGGACCGGAGGGUCGGGUCGUCGGGGUUCCAGAUACCGCCCGCGGCGCUGCAGUGCUUCAUGGGCAUCAGCAUGAUCACCUGCGUCGCGCUGUACGACCGCGUCCUGGUGCCCGUGGCGCGCAGGGUCUCCGGCGCCCCCUUGGGUAUCACCAUGCUCCAGCGGAUCGGCACGGGCAUGGUCCUGGCCGUGGCCGCGCUGGUGGUCGCCGCGCUGGUGGAGAUGAGGCGGCUGAGCACCGCGGUGGACGCCGGCUUGGUGGACCUGCCCGACGCGGUGGUGCCCAUGAGCCUGUGGUGGAUCAUGCCGCAGUACGUGCUCCUGGGCGCGGCGGAUGUGUUCACCAUGGUCGGCAUGCAGGAGUUCUUCUACGACCAGAUGCCCGGCGCGCUCAAGAGCCUCGGGCUCGCGCUCUACCUCAGCGUCCUCGGCGUCGGCAGCUUCAUCAGCAGCUUCCUCAUCUCGGCCAUCGACGGCGCGACGAGGAGGGGCGGAGGGACGAGCUGGAUCGCCGACAACCUCAACCGGGGUCAUCUCGACUACUUCUAUGUGCUCAUCGCUGCGCUCACCGCGCUGGAGCUUCUUGCUUUCCUUUACUUCUCAGGUUCUUACGUUUACAAAAGAAAGGCUGUCAGUGUUCAUUGA
rnacentral:rRNA from 1 species